GGGGAAUCUUCCGCAAUGGGCGAAAGCCUGACGGAGNAAGACCGCGUGGGGGAAGAAGGCUCUUGGGUUGUAAACUCCUUUUCUCUGGGAAGAACAAAAUGACGGUACCAGAGGAAUCAGCAUCGGCUAACUCCGUGCCAGCAGCCGCGGUAAGACGGAGGAUGCAAGCGUUAUCCGGAAUGAUUGGGCGUAAAGCGUCCGCAGGUGGCAGUUCAAGUCUGCUGUCAAAGACCGGGGCUCAACCUCGGAAAGGCAGUGGAAACUGAACAGCUAGAGUAUGGUAGGGGCAAAGGGAAUUCCUGGUGUAGCGGUGAAAUGCGUAGAGAUCAGGAAGAACAUCGGUGGCGAAGGCGCUUUGCUGGACCAUAACUGACACUCAGGGACGAAAGCUAGGGGAGCGAAUGGGAUUAGAUACCCCAGUAGUC
rnacentral:rRNA from 1 species